rnacentral:rRNA from 1 species
UACGUAGGGGGCGAGCGUUGUCCGGAAUCAUUGGGCGUAAAGAGCGUGUAGGCGGGCCGGAAGGUCUGGUGUGAAAGCCCGGGGCUCAACCCCGGAGGGUCACCGGAAACCGACGGUCUUGAAUCUGGAAGAGGAGAGUGGAAUUCCUGGUGUAGCGGUGGAAUGCGCAGAUAUCAGGAGGAACACCAAUGGCGAAGGCAACUCUCUGGUACAUGAUUGACGCUGAGACGCGAAAGCGUGGGGAGCGAACAGG